CCUACGGGGGACUGCAGUCGAGAAUCAUUCACAAUGGGGGAAACCCUGAUGGUGCGACACCGCGUGGGGGAAUGAAGGUCUUCGGAUUGUAAACCCCUGUCAUGUGGGAGCAAAUUAAAAAGAUAGUACCACAAGAGGAAGAGACGGCUAACUCUGUGCCAGCAGCCGCGGUAAUACAGAGGUCUCGAGCGUUGUUCGGAAUCACUGGGCGUAAAGCGUGCGUAGGCUGUUUCGUAAGUCGUGUGUGAAAGGCGCGGGCUCAACCCGCGGACGGCACAUGAUACUGCGAGACUAGAGUAAGGGAGGGGGAAGCGGAAUUCUCGGUGUAGCAGUGAAAUGCGUAGAUAUCGAGAGGAACACUCGUGGCGAAGGCGGGUUCCUGGACAUUAACUGACGCUGAGGCACGAAGGCCAGGGGAGCGAAAGGGAUUAGAUACCCUUGUAGUC
rnacentral:rRNA from 1 species